rnacentral:lncRNA from 1 species
GGUCUCUCAUAAUUGACCAUGCAUUCACAAUGACCCUUGAUUUUUUAGGUAUGAAAAAGUCUUCAACCAUGCAAUCUUCCAAGGAUUGGUGUGGUAUUAAUAGUGGUGCUACUGGAUGGAACCUAAGGCUUUCUUUUAUGACCAUGUCCAAAUACUCUAACUUGUUCAAAUCUGAUUCCUCCACUUUUCUCUUCAUACCCACCACAGUUUCUAACUCAUUUUGUGCUUUUUUCAUCACUCUUGGAUUCUUUAGUAGCUCUGAAAUUGUCCAUUCAAUUGCUGUUGCAGAAGUAUCCAUUGAACCUGCUAGCAUAUCCUAUGAAAAUGAACAUGUAAAAAGUUAAUAGUGUGACAUCUAGUUGUAAAAAUCAUGUGAAGAACCAACAAAUUUCUUAAAAAUUAGUCUUAUGUCGUUACUCAAUACACAAAAAUGUGAAGCGUGGACCAAAGCGGAUGAAAAUUGAAAUAACAAAGAUCUUAAUUAAACUUGUAGCUAGGGUUGAUAAUAUACCAUUUUGACCGAUCGAGACAUAGCGCAGUCUAUUAACUUGUUAGUUUAAUAGUGAAGAAGGCUUUAAAAAGAUUUUAGGCCUUGUCAAACUUUCAAAAAGGUUGAAUCAGACCUUAAAAAUGAGUCUAUGACAGGUUAUAGGUUAUACUCAUGCCUAACAUUUUUAAAGUAUAUCAAACUUAGGCAUUGCAAACCUUACCCGAUUCUCACCUUUAACUAUAGCUAAAUUUAGCUAUAGUUUUUUGAACAAGAAACUAUAGCUAAAUUUCUUGUUCAAAAAACUAUAGCUAAAUUUCUCCUAUAAUUAUUUCUAUCAGGAAAGAAAUAGGCAUGUGAAAUCUUGAGAUGAUAUUAUGCAUUGUCACAAGCAACUACUAUGUUUUACCAGCAUUAAUAAAAGCAUGAUGAAAAAUUGAAAAUAUUAAGCUCGACUAUGUUUUACCAGCAUUAAAGCUUUGAUAUUGGGUCGUUCAAUACGGUAUUCAGAUUCCUCAGUACCAACAAAGCUCAACAUAACAUCUACAAAAUCCUUAUUCUUAUCAUCUUUAUUGUCAGACUGGAUAUGCUCAUCAAUAAUUUUCUCAAAAAAAUCAUCAAAUAUUUUCCCAAUCGCCUUCAUACGCCUAGUUAGCCCUUGCAGAUCAAAUGGUCCAAGAUAAGGAAUGUAAUCAGCAAUAUUAGGCUUAGCUGCCAAAUGCAUGCCCUCUUGCAUCACCCCCUUAAACCCCUUCUCAUCCAAAUCCUUAUCCAUAUACUUUUUCCCAAAAACCAUUCUACAACUCAUAUCAGCACUGAGUGAAGAAACCUUAGCACUUAAAUCAACCUUUGUUCCAUUGUUAGCUUCUUCUUUUAGAAACUUUAUCAAUAGGUCAAGUUCUUGUUCCCUCACAGUGCUAAAAGAAUUGAUUUUCGCAUGGCUCAACAAUUCUAAAGUACACAUUUUUCUCAUGUUGCGCCAAUAAGAACCAUAUUUACCAAAACUCAAGUUCCUCUGAUCCCAAGAGAUAACUUUUGCUGCUUCAGUUGGUGGUCUACUUGCAAAGACAAGAUCAUGGGUUUUAAGGAAAAGUUCAGCUGCUUGAGGUGAAGAAACAACUAUGGUUGGUACUAAACCUAAGCGUAAGUGCAUAAUUGGUCCAUAUUUUUGGGAUAGUUGGUGAAGAUCGCGAUGAGGAUUUGGUCCUAAUUUUAGAAGGCUACCCAUAAUUGGUAACCCUUUUGGUCCUGGUGGUAAUUUCUUUGUUUUGUUCUUGGUUCCCCAUAGCCAUAAACAAAUAAGAGAAACUAGAAAAAUUGAUAUACAAAUCAAAAUCAUGAUAGGUAUUUUGGGAAAUUUCAAAUUGCUUUUGUAAAGUGUUAUAUGUGUGUCUAAUGCAGAAACAAAGAUGGGGGUUAUAUAAUCAUCUAAGUGAUGAGAGCAACGUUUGUGUUUUGACUAAAAAACUUGCUUAGUACUAGUUAAAUGAAAUAAUAUUUUAUUUUAUAUUCGAUAAUAACAAUGUGAACAUGAACUAUGAAAAUGGAAAUGAAUGUAGAUUGUUCUUGUGCUAUUGCUAAUUGGAUUAAAUAUAUGUUUUGUAGUAAAGUUAUAUGAUUCGGCCUGCACACAAUAGCGGCAACUGGCAAGAUAUUUCUGAGAUGACUGUUAUUUCCCACUUAUAUCAAGCAUUCAUUAUAUAGUUUUGAGAGCUAAAUAAUGUGUGUUACACAUAUUAGUAUGCUACACACACUAGUAUUCUCUAGUAUCCGAUGUGAGACUCUAGAGUUUUUUAUUACACAAUACUAUGUUCUAUGUUCCAACACAGACGUUAUAUGCUGUGGAGACGCACCUGGUCUUCUACAUUCUUUAUCGUCAAAUGCACUUAACUCGGAGAUAACAUUGAGAGUAAUUUGUGCGCCAUGUCAGCCAGUCUUUCUCUACUGGCAAAGUAUUUGAGGUUAUUUUGUUGGUGGUUUUGCUCUUCUUCUCCAUGAAUUGUUCAGAAAUCUCCCAUCCACAGAAAAAUGUAUUCUAGUAGUAAUUUUUAUCAGAAGAUAUCUUUUGUUUAAGUCUUAUUAAAAAAUAAUUUUUGCUUAUGUAAUGUAGAUCUUUGUGACCAACUGACCAUUAGAUCUAAGUUCAUAAAUACAAUUUUCCCUGUUAUGUCAGUAUUUGAUUUGCUAAAGAGCAAAAGCAUGACGAAAUUACUUAUUUUAUAGAUUGAAAAAAUCAUAAAGCUCAAAAGAAAAAUGUUGAGAUUUGUUACUAAUAAAUCAUGGAUAAAUUAUUGUUUCACACAUAAUAAAGCCCCCCUCCCCCCACACUACUGUUUUUCUUUCCUAAUCCUUAAUGACCCUCUUUUCAAAAUUUCUUUCUCCCACUCUCUACCCUGUAUUCCAUCUUUUUCUUCCCCUCAUUACCCUCAAACCACUAAAGAUCAAACAUAACUCUUUAGUUGAUACUCACAAAACAAAGAUUUCAAUAAAUAUGACUAGUUUUAGACAAGCCAUGACACAUAAAUAUCAUCCAGUAAAGGAAUAUGAAUUCCUAUUACAAGAACCAAAACUAUGUGAUGUGAUGAUCUAACUAAGGUAAAGAGUUGGUAUAAACGUAAUCUUCAUUCUCAAAAACAGUUUCUUCAGACCCAACACUUCUUCCCUUGCAUUCACCUCUUUGCUUUUCACACCCACCACUUCUCUACAUAAUAAAAAUCCAGUUACUUAGAUUUUUGUAUAUAUACAUUCACAUAAAUUAAAACAAACAAUGGAAAAAGAUCAAGAGGUAGAUAUAUAUAGAGUGAGAUUCAAACUCACAACAGUUGCAGAACUUCCAGAAGCCAAAACUGCAUCUUUAUUGAUCAAUGAUCCCUUUUGAACAGCACAUACCACAUUGAAGGUAAAUAAGAGAAAAAGAAGCAUAACAGGUAUCAAGAAUCUCAUUGUAUUAGACCUAGCUAGCUAGCUAUGAUAUUAUGUGGUAUAGUGUCAAUUAUUUAUACAAACACAUAGGCCUAAAAAUUUGACAUGAUAUUGAAACUUGAUAUAAGUAUUAUUUAUAGUUAUGAUUGAUAUUGAAUGAAGAGUGUUUCAGCAUUUUCCAUUGACCUGUCUUCGGAUUCCCCGGCAAGAAUGCUCAACCCUCAAGAGUAAGGUUGGAUUAUUUUGGUGUUUUCUGAGUUAAAUUAAUAUAUAAAUAAAAUGAGCUAACAUAAGAGAAGAAUAUAUCCCGUGUUAAGAUUUGUCACUUUGAACUUUGAAUCCAAGUCAACCCUAACACUGACACCACUUACCUACUCAUGGUUUUAAGAAUAAAAAAUUGACCUAAGUACCGGUCUGUUGCACAAAUAACUUAUAGAGUAUAUGUCCAUCUUUAUCUCUUACUUUUCAUCUUAUAUAUCAUAAUGAGUUUUGAAAUACAUAAAAAAACAGAAGAACAUGUAUUAAUUAAGUGUUCACUUUAAAUGUUAAAACAUCGUUUAUCAUUGUGUACAUUUGACAUUCUCGUCCUCUUUGGUAUGUCUUAUUUUAUGUGUGUAUCCAUUCCUAUGGUCAGUACUCGGUGUUGGGGAUUUAACCCAAAACAAAGAACAAAGAAUAAAAGUUUGAAGAAUGAAAACUGAGAGAAGAUGAAUUGUUGAAUAAGCAGAAAAAUUGAUUAAAGGAAAGAGUAAAAUUGCAUUAUUUACAAUGAGGGAUUACAAGUGUAUAUAAUAUAUAUACACAAAAGUGUAACUAACUAACAAACUGAAUUACAACGGUACAUAACUAUCUAACUGCUAAAAACUAGGAAAAACGUAACUGAACCGAAACAGAGCUUCAGAGCCUCAGCUAGCUUCAUAACCUAUAUCAACUUCAGAGGCUGCGAGGUUCAGAGGCUAUACUGCCUCUGAGGCUGAAACGCUUCAGAGGCUUCACUGCUUCAGAACCUCUGAAGCUAGAUAGAUAGCUUGGAUUACCAAUCAAACCAAUACUCGGUACACCACGACACUCCAACACUCCUCUAUUUUUGUGAAAUUCGCUUUGAUCCAUGCCCCGAAUACCAACGUCCUCAAUUGACACUAUACCCUCAAGGCUAAUCGCCCGGAGUGUUUUACUGUCUUGUGCUGCAAGGCUACGCUGUAUCAUAUAUUUUAGAUCAUUUGUGCAAAGUACUCAAACAUCACACUUGGCUAUCCUAUAAAUAUCUUGUGAUAAUCAAAAAGAGUAUAUUUUCCCAACUACAAACAAGCAAACAAAAAUGACAUAUAAAAAAAAAAACCCCAAAUCAUUUAUAAGGCUAACAUAUUUGGAUUUUGUACUUUGUUGCAUAUACCAUAAUAUGUAAAAUACAUUUGAGAAAAACAACCCCUUUAUUUUUUCUGCAAGCCUUAUUUAUUCAAACAUAAAUUCCAAUGUCAAGUACAUUUAUCUUUCAACUUAAUCACUAUCACUAUAAAGACGAUAAUUAGGGAUCACAAUUAAAUGAUUAAGUCUAGGCAUAGUAAGUCCAAACUCCUCUUUCAUAUCCAAAUCACUUGGUAACAUAUGAUCAGGCAAUUUCCAAUCAAAGCAAUGCACAAGUUGAGCCACUACCAAACGAAUCACAGUUAGGCCCAAUUGCAUUCCAGGACAACCCCUUCUACCAGAACCAAAUGGUAAAAAUUGAAAAUCAUGCCCUCUAACAUCUAUGUUACUUCCUUCAAAUCUCUCAGGCCAAAAUUUCUCAGGAUCAGUCCAUGCAUUUGGGUCUCUCAUAAUUGACCAUGCAUUCACAAUGACCCUUGAUUUUUUAGGUAUGAAAAAGUCUUCAACCAUGCAAUCUUCCAAGGAUUCGUGUGGUAUUAAUAGUGGUGCUACUGGAUGGAACCUAAGACUUUCUUUUAUAACCAUGUCCAAAUACUCUAACUUGUUCAAAUCUGAUUCCUCCACUUNNNNNNNNNNNNNNNNNNNNNNNNNNNNNNNNNNNNNNNNNNNNNNNNNNNNNNNNNNNNNNNNNNUGGAUUCUUUAGUAGCUCAGAAAUUGUCCAUUCAAUUGCUGUUGCAGAAGUAUCCAUUGAACCUACUAGCAUAUCCUAUGCAAAUGAACAUGUAAAAAUUUAGUUAAUAGUGUGACAUCUAAAAGGUAAACAUGUAUGUUAAUUUGAUGAAAAAUAUUAAUAACAAA